rfam:Triticum aestivum genome assembly, contig: Triticum_aestivum_CS42_TGACv1_scaffold_321446_4BL
CAUGUACUCCCUCCGUCCGGAAAUACUUGUCAUCAAAAUGAAUAAAAGGAGAUGUAUCUAGACGUAUUUCUAGAUACAUCUCCUUUUAUUCAUUUUGAUGACAAGUAUUUCCGGACGGAGGGAGUAUUUG